rnacentral:rRNA from 1 species
AUGAAUACGUUCUCACAUGUGUUGAGAAUGAACCUCACUAUUCAGUUUUGGCGUUGCAUAUUUGACAAGAUGACAAUGCAUGUUAAGAGAAACCUCUUCAUACAUGGUGCGCACCCCAGCAAGCUUAUGGAACUAGGCCUUCCAGUCGACAUAACGGACUUUGCUUUGCAUCCACUUACCAUGACAAGUUAUACAAGUAAUGUUCCAAUCAAGGAGGAAUCACCAAAUGUGACAUUUGCAGAGCUUCUAGCGGAUCCGAGUGUUAGACCAGAAGGAGACUUCAUUCUAAUUAGAUAUGAAUCAAGGAUACCCCCUCAUAAAUCAUUUGUUCAUUUGGUUACAAGUCGUGCUCAGGAUACACAUGAAGGUAGUAGUAGUACCUUGUCAGGGAGGAAGCGACGUGGUGUGCCAAUCUAA